GANUGGGCCCUCUUGAAUGCAUGCAUCGGAGCUCCACCCNCAGGUGNGNNNAAAUAUCUGCAGAANUUCCCGCUUAGAGUUNGAUCCUGGCUCAGAUUGNNCGCUGGNNGCAUGCCUUCACACGUGCCCGUCGCAANGGUCNCACGGNNGCAAUCCUGGUGGCGAGUGGCGAACGGUCUGAGUAAUAUAUCGGAACGUGCCCAGUCGUGGGGGAUAACGCAGCGAAAGCUGUGCUAAUACCGCAUACGAUCUCUGGAUGAAAGCGGGGGACUCGCAAGGGCCUCGCGCGAUUGGAGCGGCCGAUAUCAGAUUAGCUAGUUGGUGGGGUAAAAGCCCACCAAGGCGACGAUCUGUAGCUGGUCUGAGAGGACGACCAGCCACACUGGAACUGAGACACGGUCCAGACUCCUACGGGAGGCAGCAGUGGGGAAUUUUGGACAAUGGGCGCAAGCCUGAUCCAGCAAUGCCGCGUGCAGGAUGAAGGCCUUCGGGUUGUAAACUGCUUUUGUACGGAACGAAACGGUUCGCCUUAAUACGGUGGGCUAAUGACGGUACCGUAAGAAUAAGCACCGGCUAACUACGUGCCAGCAGCCGCGGUAAUACGUAGGGUGCGAGCGUUAAUCGGAAUUACUGGGCGUAAGCGUGCGCAGGCGGUUAUAUAAAACAGAUGUGAAUCCCCGGGCUCAACCUGGGACCUGCAUUUGUGGCUUUUUAGCUUGAGUACGGUANAGGGGAUGGAAUUCCCCGUGUANCANUNAAAUGCNUAAAUUUCNGNAGA
rnacentral:rRNA from 1 species